UUCAAGCGUUACUCCACGCCGCGAAAACAAGUUGUUUACGAGUUUUGCAGCGAGCGUUUUGAUCGGAAAACUUUACGUUUUACGUGCAAAACAAUUAUGGCACAAACAGGGGGCGUAACUUUGCUUUGCGUUCUUGCACUUCCGGAUUGAGACAUUACAGCCACUGAUUACAGCGAGUACCAGUACAAAGUUAUUACAGUAUAAAUAUUAUAUUCAUUUUAAAUAUUCUGGAGGAAACACAGUGAAGGUUAGUUUUUAUAGUGAAUACUAUUUAGCCUACUGUUGAUUUGAAGCUCGAUUUUGAUGUACGGUAUCGGUGAAACGAGGACGCAAAAUCAAUGGACAAUGGCGGAUUUUCAAGAAAAUCAUUAUUUUCAAAAUAGGCCGUUUCAAUUUUACUAAGUUUUCGUUCCAACUGUGUCUUUAAAGGUUUAUAACUAUAUAUUUUGAAAGCUUCAAAUGCGUUUGUUUCCAACUAAAAUGUAGGCAUUUUCACAAGCUUUCAAACCAUCCGCGUUGGGGUGUAUGUCGUUAAAUUUUGAAUUAAUAUAAGCGGUUGAAACUCGUGCCUAAAGGCUAAAACCAGACAUUAUAUAGAACAUAAACAUAUGACAUUUAUUCGACUAUAUCUUUGCGAAUAUUAACAGGUAGAAUAAAUUUACGUAUAUUGUCAGAUAGCUGGUGCAAUCAGCUACAUUUCGGUACAAGCUAGAAUAUUGUAGCUAGAAUAUUGAGCGAGAAUUCGUUGCCUAAACGAGGGUGUAAAAAUUGCCGUCGGAAUACACAUUCUAGUCGGACAAUAUAAUGUCUGGUUUUAGGCACGAGGUUCAACCGCUUAUAUUAAUUCGAAAUUUAACGACAUACAGUACACCCCCAACGCGGAUGGUUUGAAAGCUUGUGAAAAUGCAUACAUUUUAGUUGGAUUUAUAUUCAGGUUAGUAGAAGAUUCGCCGAGAAAAUGUUCGUAACAAACUGUUGUUAUGCCAUGGAAAUUCAAAAAUAUCUAUUACAUUUUCAAAAUCUCGCCUUGCUGCGCAUGUAAACAAACGCAUUUGAAGCUUUCAAAAUAUUUAACAAUUAUUUGCCGAAGGCGAGGUGAAGUUAUAAACCUUUAAAGACACUGUUGGCACGAAAACUUAGUAAAAUUGAAACGGCCUAUUUUGAAAAUGAUUUUCUUGAAAAUCCGC